UCUAUCUGCAUCCCCUGUUCCGUUGCCUCGCCUCCUCUCUGCAUCCCCUCCUACUCUACUCUAUCCACAGCAGUUCCCCUCCCCCCUCCUCGCCGACGGCUCCUCCCUCGCGGCAGCGCCCAGUACGGCGAGACGCCGGGGCCGCACGAGCAGCUACUCUGCCGUUCCCCUCCCCCUCCUCGCCAGCGGCUCCUCCCUCGCGGCAACGCCCAGUACGGCGAGACGGCGAGGCCGCACGAACCCGGCGUAACCCUAGGGCUCCACCUGGUCCCAUCUUCCCCCGCCGCCUCACUCCGGAGAAGAGGAAUCCGCCGGCGGCCUCGAGAUCUCCAGGCGGCUCUUCUUCGACGGUUCAUCCUUUUGCUGGACCGAUGCCGAGGGAAACUACUUCGCAUUGCGUGGAUCGAAGAUUCCGUCAACCAAAACUGGGAUGAACAUCAAGUAGCAGCCUCUGUAUCACUGCAAUCUGACAAAGUGGAGGGCCUAGAAGGUACAGUACUCUGACGGAGUACCUUCUUCAGAGUGCAAAGGAGCAAAAUUGUUCUAAUCAGCAGCAGCACAGCACAGUCACUUGGAUCAGCGGAAGAGGAGCAUCAGCAGCACGGGCAGAGGAGCAACAACAGCUAGUUCUUCAGGUACAAUGGAAAACAAGCAAGCUUAUAUCUGAAAAACGAGUUAGCUAGGCUCAGAAUUUUGAGUUGGCCCCUUCACAUAAGUUUUAGAUAAAGUUUCAAGGUUUCUUUAGAGUAUUUAUUUGUGUCGUUUGGAUGUACGGUUUGAGAGCAGCUAUCAGUUUAGUUUGCUGUCCCGAAAUAUAUGUUCCUGGGUACAGUAUUUUGAUAUGGGAGAUUAGGCCCUGUUAGAGGUGGUAUUAAAAUAAAGUUACAACAUGAAAAUUUUAGAGGUUGUUCUGUAGAUACUUAAAACACAUAUCACUUGUCAGGUUUCGUUCGGUAUAUUAAACCCUAUGAAAUUAUCAAAGUGGGCUGUACUAUGUUGGACAGAAUUUUAUGUUUGGACUUGGGUGAAUGUAACCAGACUUAUACUCUCAGAUUUUGUCAUAGUUGAUGGUGUGAGGACUUAUAAUGUGAUAAAGUAUAUACGUUGUUGCAACACCUA